GUGGGGAAUAUUGCACAAUGGGCGCAAGCCUGAUGCAGCGACGCCGCGUGCGGGAUGAAGGCCUUCGGGUUGUAAACCGCUUUUAAUUGGGAGCAAGCGAAAGUGAGUGUACCUUUUGAAUAAGCACCGGCUAACUACGUGCCAGCAGCCGCGGUAAUACGUAGGGUGCAAGCGUUAUCCGGAAUUAUUGGGCGUAAAGAGCUCGUAGGCGGUUUGUCGCGUCUGGUGUGAAAGUCCAUCGCUUAACGGUGGAUCUGCGCCGGGUACGGGCAGGCUAGAGUGCAGUAGGGGAGACUGGAAUUCCAGGUGUAACGGUGGAAUGUGUAGAUAUCUGGAAGAACACCAAUGGCGAAGGCAGGUCUCUGGGCUGUUACUGACGCUGAGGAGCGAAAGCAUGGGGAGCGAACAGG
rnacentral:rRNA from 1 species